UUAACAUUCAUAAAAGAGAAAAGCAACACCUUCAGAUAUUGAAAACAAUAAUAACCCAUCUGCUUUCUCAGUCUCUCUGUAGCAUCGCUGGAGUGUAUUCGGUGUCCUGAGCGGUUCUGGUUCAACUCAGACCAAACAGUGUGCGUCCCCAGCAGGUGCGAGCCAACAACUCAGAGGUGAGCUUCGCGCUCCUGCUGUCGCUCAAGUUGUGCUUCCUAUGUGCGCUGGCUUUCUUUGGACAGCCAGAGGCUUGAUCCUGUAUGCUGAGACAUAUGCUGUUUGGACUCAGCUUUGUGUUGUGUUUCUCCUGUCUGCUGAGCGUUCCAUGCUGCCGGGGGAGAACCUGAUGCGUUAUGUGGGUCCUGCUCAGCAGUGGUUUGGCAUCUCUGUCUGCACCCUGGUACAGGUGCCGAUGUGUGUGCUGUGGCUGACCCUGGCUCCUCCUCAGCCUGCAGAAAGAGACAUCCUGUACCACUGGGGACCCAAGAAGAUUCUUGAAUCUGUGAUGGGCUCUGUGGGGGACUUCUCACAUGGUUGGUCUGUUGGCCUGUCUCAGCUGUCUCCCUGACAAAUUUAAUGAAUCCAAACUGUUCACUAUUCAGCAGGCUGAUCUUCUGUACUGUCUGGGUGGCCUUUGUGCCCUACAUUAGCUACAUUAGCUCUCCUGGGAAAUACACUGUUGCAGUGAAGAUUUUUGCCAUCCUGGCCUCAAGUUAUGGUCUUCUGUUCUGUAUCUUUGUUUUAUUAUUCUUCUGAGGCCUCAGAGAAACACUAAAAAAACACCUGAUGGCAAUAUAUUGGGAAAACUUCAUGGUCAAUAGAUGAGGGCAUAAAAGACUUCAAAUGAAAAUAAAAACAGAAUUUGCCCAAGUAUCGACUUUUGAAAACUGUAUGGUGUCUAUCAUGACAACAGCAACAAAAGAAAGAAAGAAGCAAUGAAUAAAUAAAUGUUCAAUGUUAUUUGUAUUCAAAUAUCGUCACUUUUCGUCUGCGCUCAUUUUAUCUGCAGUGUACGUAAUUUAAAAUAAGCUAUUAAACGUUGCUGCUGAAUGUACUGUAACACAAAUAUCUGCAUAUGUAUUUCUGCAACGAAAAUGAACAUUUCAUCAUAUUAUCAGCUCAUGAGUUGGUGUGGUGCCACUCUGACAGCCCAUCAUAAGCAUUCACUCAUCAGACAGUGGAUGUGUGAGUGUUUGUGUGGCGCACUGUGAUAAUUGUUUGCUCUCGCAGAUAUUAUUCAG